rnacentral:rRNA from 1 species
UACGGAGGGUGCAAACGUUGCUCGGAAUCAUUGGGCGUAAAGAGCUCGUAGGCGGUCUGUCGCGUCUGCUGUGAAAACCUGGGGCUUAACCCCGGGCCUGCAGUGGGUACGGGCAGACUAGAGUGUGGUAGGGGAGACUGGAAUUCCUGGUGUAGCGGUGAAAUGCGCAGAUAUCAGGAGGAACACCGGUGGCGAAGGCGGGUCUCUGGGCCAUAACUGACGCUGAGGAGCGAAAGCGUGGGGAGCGAACAGG